UCCUUAACUAUGGCUGACAACCAGAAA
rnacentral:piRNA from 1 species